rnacentral:misc_RNA from 1 species
CUCCAGAGUUAAUAUUGCUGUAAUCUGGUCCUUUAGAGAUUGCCUUGAGCACCUCCACAACUCGUGACGGCCAGACCAGGCUUGACGAUCGAAUUACAAGAGGCAAGAAUGGUANNNNNAGGUCUUCUCUACUCUCCACUCCCUCUGUAAUUGCCGCUACUUCACAAGAGGAGCUUGCCAUUUCCCUUCCCGGUUGUAGUUUGCCGUCGUUCAAUUUUUU